rnacentral:rRNA from 1 species
GAUGAAAAGACCGCUGGCAAGCGAGUGAAAGAGUGCAUGAAAUUGUAUAGUGGGAAGGGAUGGCCUGGCGUGCUGCCCGCGGGUAUACACUGCUCUUCGAGCUCUUGAAUACACCGUGGGCUGGUUGGUGCCGACACCUGCGCUUGCAAAUCCCCAAACUAAGGUGUUUGGUUCUUCAAGCGCGGGUGUUGAGGUUGAUCGUCGCUUUGUUUUAAACUGCGUCGACAUAGCACCAGCUGAAGCUUGUCCAUCUA